rnacentral:sRNA from 1 species
UUAUGAAGCAAUUCCCGAUGGGGGGAGCCCAGUGCUCCGCUGCCUUGUAACCGCAAAACACUAUGUUUAGAAAAUGGGGGAAUUAUCACAUG